GAUGAACGCUGGCGGCGUGCCUAAUACAUGCAAGUCGAGCGAACAGACGAGGAGCUUGCUCCUCUGACAUUAGCGGCGAACGGGUGAGUAACACGUGGAUAACCUACCUAUAAGACUGGGAUAAAUUCGGGAAACCGGAGCUAAUACCGGAUAAUAUAUUGCACCGCAUGGUUCAAUUGUGAAAGACGGUUUUGCUGUCACUUAUAGAUGGAUCCGCGCCGCAUUAGCUAGUUGGGAAGGUAACGGCUUACCAAGGCAAGGAUGCGUAGCCGACCUCAGGGGGUGAUCGGCCACACUGGAUCUGAGACAGGGUCGAGACUCCGACGCGAGGAAGCAGUAGGGAAUCUUCCGCAAUGGAGGAGAGCCUGACGGUGCAACACCGCGUAAGUGAUGAAGGUCUUCGGAUCGUAAAACUCUGUUAUUAGGGAAGAACAAAUGUGUAAGUAACUAUGCACGUCUUGACGGUACCUAAUCAGAAAGCCACGGCUAACUACGUG
rnacentral:rRNA from 1 species